GUCUAUGGCCGUACCACCCUGAACACGCACAAUUGCACUUGAUCUCAGAAGCUAAGCAGGGUCGGGCCUGGUUAGUACUUGGAUGGGAGAUAUGGGUUACCUUUAUAUC
rnacentral:rRNA from 1 species